UACAGAGGGUGCGAGCGUUAAUCGGAAUUACUGGGCGUAAAGCGCGCGUAGGCGGCUUUGCAAGUCGGGUGUGAAAUCCCCAGGCUUAACCUGGGAACUGCAUUCGAGACUGCAUUGCUAGAGUAUGGGAGAGGGAAGUGGAAUUUCCGGUGUAGCGGUGAAAUGCGUAGAUAUCGGGUGGAACACCAGUGGCGAAGGCGCUGCUCUGGGCCGGUACUGACGCUGAGGAGCGAAAGCGUGGGUAGCAAACAGG
rnacentral:rRNA from 1 species